UCAAAUUUUAGUGUACAAGCUCAGCUAGGGAAAAAGAACAAAUUGGAACGGAACAGUUUCCAAACAGUGAAGGAGGUUCUUCCAAACUCAUCCCUAACUGAACAUGAGGAUGAAUUGGCGUUAGGCGAACACAGUCAGUUAUUCAGUCCACCACCUGACAGUGUGUUAAAUUUAAAUUCUGUUAGUGCUGUACUAAAAGAAUUGUUAGUAAUAAGUCCAUGCAGCGAAGGAACUGGAGAAUUGUGGGACUGUAGUUGGGCCGAAAAUGGGUGUGGUAUGGAAACCCAGAAAUGGCAUGAGUUCAACAUAAAACAUGGAUUAGAAUUUUAGUGGGGGAUCAAGUCAAGUCUGGAAGUGUUACAGGGUGGAAGAGUGAGCCUUCAGUUGAAAAACACUGAAAGUGCAUUACCAUUAAGAUAUGAGAGUGUUGGUGAAGCUGGGUAUUUAAAUGGCCCUAAAGAUGUUUCACUUCACUGGCAUUGCAGCAAUGAACAUCAUACAUGGACUCUUUAGGAAAGGAUUUUUAGCAUACUGGUAACACAACUAUCAACAAUGCAACAUUCUACGGGUGUUAUUUUAUCAUUCGAGAGCCUUAUACAAUGAUUUUCAUCUACAAUUUGUAUGGC